CGAUUGACGUUACCCGCAGAAGAAGCACCGGCUAACUCCGUGCCAGCAGCCGCGGUAAUACGGAGGGUGCAAGCGUUAAUCGGAAUUACUGGGCGUAAAGCGCACGCAGGCGGUCUGUCAAGUCGGAUGUGAAAUCCCCGGGCUCAACCUGGGAACUGCAUUCGAAACUGGCAGGCUAGAGUCUUGUAGAGGGGGGUAGAAUUCCAGGUGUAGCGGUGAAAUGCGUAGAGAUCUGGAGGAAUACCGGUGGCGAAGGCGGCCCCCUGGAC
rnacentral:rRNA from 1 species